AGAGAUGUGUGAUGACGCAUAUCAAUAAGCGGAGGAAAAGAAACUAACAAGGAUUCCCUUAGUAACGGCGAGUGAAGCGGGAAGAGCUCAAAUUUGAAAUCUUCAAGGUUUUACCUUGACGAAUUGUAGUUUAUAGAAGUGUUUUCUGUUAGUAGAGUGGCAAAAGUUCUUUGGAAUAGGACAUCAUAGAGGGUGAGAAUCCCGUAUUUGGUCAUUCCUCUCUAGCUUUGUGAUACACUUUCAACGAGUCGGAUUGUUUGGGAAUGCAGUCCAAAAUGGGUGGUAAAUUUCAUCUAAAGCUAAAUAUUGGCGAGAGACCGAUAGCGAACAAGUACCGUGAGGGAAAGAUGAAAAGAACUUUGAAAAGAGAGUUAAACAGUACGUGAAAUUGUCAAAAGGGAAGCGUUUGACACCAGUGUUGUUUUUCCGAAAAUCAAUUACGAAUGUUAUAUUUUUGAGAAGUUAUGACUUCAUCGGCUUGCUUCUCUCUUUAUGAAACUUUCUUAAUGCACUUUUCGGUUAACAAGUCAACAUCAAUUUCUUUUGUUGUAAAGGGGUAUGAGGAAGGUGGCUUUCUUUUCGGAGAAAGUGUUUAUAGCCUUGUACCUCUGCAAUCGGAGAGAUUGAGGUCUGCAGCGUAGAUCCUUCGGGGUUAGAUACAUUUGUGCUAAGUUAUAGCUUUUCAUAGACAACUUGUUGACUAUGUUAGUCUUGUAGCUUACUCGCUUAUGCUAUUUUACCUACGCUUAGGAUGUUGAAGUCAUCGUAUCGCGC
rnacentral:rRNA from 1 species